rnacentral:tRNA from 1 species
GCGCGCCUAGCUCAGUUGGUUAGAGCAUCUCGUUUACACCGAGNNCAUCCAUGGUAAGGAUGAGGUCUCGGGUUCGAUUCCCGAUGUCGGCUCAA